rnacentral:rRNA from 1 species
GAUGAACGCUAGCUACAGGCUUAACACAUGCAAGUCGAGGGACCGGCGCACGGGUGAGUAACACGUACCCAACCUGCCCUUUCCCCGCGGAUAGCCUUUAGAAAGAAAGACUAAUACCCGAUCCAAAGGAUGGGGAUGCGUUCCAUUAGGGUGUAGGUGAGGUAACGGCCCACCAAGCCUUCGAUGGAUAGGGGUUCUGAGAGGAAGGUCCCCCACAUUGGAACAGAGACACGGACCAAACUCCUACGGGAGGCAGCAGAGUGGAAUAUUGGUCAAUAGACGGUAGCCUGAACCAGCCAAGUAGCGUGAAGGAGGGAGGGUUAUGAGUAGUAAACUUCUUUUGUAUAAGAAGAGGUAUUAUAUGAAUAAGGAACGGCUAACUCCGUGCCAGCAGCCGCGGUAAUAC